rnacentral:rRNA from 1 species
AUAUAAUGUAAUUCCUACAACAUUAAUGCACCAGAUCCUAUUAGAACUCCAUAGUUAAACGUGCUUGGGCCAGAGUAGUAUUGGGAUGGGUGACUUUCCAGGAAGUCCUAGUGUUUUACAUG